rnacentral:rRNA from 1 species
UACGUAGGGUGCAAGCGUUGUCCGGAAUUAUUGGGCGUAAAGAGCUCGUAGGCGGUCUGUCGCGUCGGUUGUGAAAAACUCGGGGGCUCCAACCCCGAGCCUGCAAUCGAUACGGGCAGACUAGAGUGCUGUAGGGGAGACUGGAAUUCCUGGUGUAGCGGUGAAAUGCGCAGAUAUCAGGAGGAACACCGGUGGCGAAGGCGGGUCUCUGGGCAGUAACUGACGCUGAGGAGCGAAAGCGUGGGGAGCAAAACAGG